GUCUUGAAAGCUAUAAGCAAUCUAUUUUGUAAAUAGGAGGAAGUUAGUAUUCAUUAACUCAAGACU
rnacentral:tRNA from 1 species